AGUGAACGCUGGCGGCAGGCCUAAUACAUGCAAGUCGAACGGCAGCACAGCAGAGCUUGCUCUGUGGGUGGCGAGUGGCGGACGGGUGAGGAAUACGUGGGAAUCUGCCCAGUCGUGGGGGAUAACGUAGGGAAACUUACGCUAAUACCGCAUGCGCCCUUCGGGGGAAAGCCGGGGACCUUCGGGCCUGGCGCGAUUGGAUGAGCCCACGUCGGAUUAGCUAGUUGGCGGGGUAAAGGCCCACCAAGGCGACGAUCCGUAGCUGGUCUGAGAGGAUGAUCAGCCCCACUGGAACUGAGACACGGUCCAGACUCCUACGGGAGGCAGCAGUAGGGAAUAUUGGACAAUGGGCGCAAGCCUGAUCCAGCCAUGCCGCGUGAGUGAAGAAGGCCCUCGGGUCGUAAAGCUCUUUUGUCCGGAAAGAAAAGCGCCGGGUUAAUACCCUGGUGUCCUGACGGUACCGGAAGAAUAAGCACCGGCUAACUUCGUGCCAGCAGCCGCGGUAAAGUAU
rnacentral:rRNA from 1 species